rnacentral:rRNA from 1 species
GACGAACGCUGGCGGCGUGGAUUAGGCAUGCAAGUCGGACGGUAGGGCUUUAUCGUAAGAUAGAGUUUGAGAGUGGCGAACGGGUGAGUAACACGUAGGAAUCUACCCUUAAGACGGGGACAACCCAGGGAAACUUGGGCUAAUACCGGAUGAGAGUGCGAGAGAUUGCAUUUAAAAGGAUGGCGAAAGUUGUCACUUAGGGAUGAGCCUGCGGUCUAUUAGUUAGUUGGUGAGGUAAGAGCUCACCAAGGCGAUGAUAGAUAGGCGGCCUUAACGGGUGGUCGCCCACACUGGGAUUGAGAUACGGCCCAGACUCCUACGGGAGGCAGCAGUAGGGAAUAUUGGACAAUGGGCGCAAGCCUGAUCCAGCCAUGCCGCGUGAGUGAAGAAGGCCCUCGGGUUGUAAAGCUCUUUUGUCCGGAAAGAAAGCUUUGGGUUAAUACCCCGAAGUCCUGACGGUACCGGAAGAAUAAGCACCGGCUAACUUCGUG